rnacentral:rRNA from 1 species
CAAUAGCGUAUAUUUAAGUUGUUGCAGUUAAAAAGCUCGUAGUUGGAUUUCUGCUGAUCGCUGUCGGUCUGCCGUCAGGUGUGUACUGGCAGUGUUUGGCAUCUAUUCGAGAUUGGGUGUCCACUUGAUUGUGUGCACUCGAUGUCGGAGCUAAUACUUUGAGAAAAUUAGAGUGUUCCACGCAGGCGCGUGCCUUGAAUACUGCAGCAUGGGAUAUUGAAAGGCCGAUUGAGCUUUCUUGUUGGUUCUCGGUUUGAUCGGAAUGAUUAAUAGGGAUAGUUGGGGGCAUUCGUAUUCAACUGUCAGAGGUGAAAUUCUUGGAUUUGUUGAAGACGGACUACUGCGAAAGCAUCUGCCAUGGAUGUUCUCAUUGA